GUUAAUUCAGGGCUUGAUUGGCUGCCUCCAAGCUGGGUCCUGGAGUGGGUAGAGCUGAGCACGUGCACCCUUUAAAAGCAUGCUCUCAGGAUGCUAUAGUCCUGUGGGUCUCAGGAUGUGAGCCCUGUUUGCUUUCAAAGUUAGAGCUUUUGGGGGCUCAUCUCUCAGGUGCAGGUACUGAAAGAUUUCUGCAGAACCUCUGAAAUGCCAAGAAUUUGCCUGCUGUUCCUAAGUUAGGAGAAAUACUGCCUGGUCCAGCAGGUCGGAGGACCUUACCUUUGCAUGGGGCCCACCGUGAAUGUGAAAUGGUGCUGCAGCUCAGGCAGGAGAUGGAAGGAAGAUAUGCUAUGCUAAGUUACUUCAGUCGUGUCCGACUCUGUGCGACCCCAUAGACGGAAGCCCACCAGGCUCCCCCGUCCCUGGAAUUCUCCAGGCAAGAACACUGGAGUGGGCUGCCAUUUCCUUCUCCAAUGCAUGAAAGUGAAAAGUGAAAGUGAAGUCGCUCAGUCGUGUCCGACUCUUAGCGACCCCAUGGACUGCAGCCUACCAGGCUCCUCUGUCCAUGGGAUUUUCCAGGCAAGAGUUCUGGAGUGGGUUGCCAUUGCCUUCUCCAUGGAAGGAAGAUACUGGGGCAUUAAUAGUGGCAUUCUGUUGAUGGGCGGGGCCCUGUUCCCUCCCUAUUGUUUGACCUGAGACCAAACUAUGGUGGAGUUAAUGAAGAUAAUAGUGACCUCCUUCAAAAGGUCCCAUGCACUCACUGCUGCAUUCAGUGCCCCGGCCCUGCAAUAGGCCACCGCUGACCCACACCUCCGCUGGAGACUCCUGGACACUCACAGAACUGUGAAUCUUUGUUUUUCCUGGACCAAACUAAAGUGAACUUCAUUCCUGUCUGAUCUUUCCCCAUCUUCAAAAGUGGAAGCACUGGAAGCUCCUUUGUUCAAGGAUAAGCCAUUUUUCUCAUGGAUCAGCUGGGUCAUGAGUUACUGAUCCACCCACAGAAUGACAGGAGGUUAAAGAUAAAAAGUUUACUAGAGUAUGUGAGGAACCAGAGAUCAAAUUGCCAACAUCCGCAGGAUCAUGGAAAAAGCAAGAGAGUUCCAGAAAACAUCUAUUUCUGCUUUAUUGACUAUGCCAAAACCUUUGACUGUGUGGAUCACAAUAAACUGUGGAAAAUUCUGAAAGAGAUGGGAAUACCAGACCACCUGACCUUGAGAAAUGUAUAUGCAGGUCAGGAAGCAACAAUUAGAACUGGACAUGGAACAACAGACUGGUUCCAAAUAGGAAAAGGAGUACGUCAAGGCUGUAUAUUGUCACCCUGCUUAUUUAACUUAGAUGCAGAGUACAUCAUGAGAAACACUGGGCUGGAAGAAGCAUAAGCUGGAAUCAAGAUUGCCGGGAGAAAUAUCAAUAACCUCAGAUAUGCAGAUGACCCCACCCUUAUGGCAGAAAGUGAAGAGGAACUAAAAAGCCUCUUGAUGAAAGUGAAAGAGGAGAGUGAAAAAGUUGGCUUAAAGCUCAACAUUCAGAAAACGAAGAUCAUAGUAUCUGGUCCCAUUACUUCAUGGCAAAUAGUUGGGGGAAACAGUGGAAACAGUGUCAGAC
ensembl:lncRNA